GGAAACAUGGCUGUCAGUUCAUGCCUAUCACUGUCUGAGUACGGGCUGCUCCGACUGGGGCUGAUGGAGGCUGCGAGACAAAUGUGGCACAUCCGCUUUACGAGAAGUUUUGCAGAAACGAUUCCAAUCAAUUUAACUGUCCUCACAGGCUCCUAUUGAGCUUCCCAGUUUGCUCCCCCAACUUUUCCAGAGCAGAGGAGAACAAACACAUCCAAACCACAGCUCUGGAUGUUCACUGGGCUCAGCUAAGCAGUUUGCACCAGGGUAUCUCACAUGUUUACAGUCAGAUGGGGCUGGAGUCUUCUUGAAAGCUUUGUCACUUACAUGCCUGGUGUUGAGGUUGGUGCUGAUUGACAGCUGCAACCUCAGUGCACUCAGCCAGAACACAAACUUGUGGCCCCCAUGUGGCGUGGACUUCCCCACAGCAUGGCCUCUGG